GAUGAACGCUGGCGGCGUGCCUAAUACAUGCAAGUCGAGCGAACAGACGAGGAGCUUGCUCCUCUGACGUUAGCGGCGGACGGGUGAGUAACACGUGGAUAACCUACCUAUAAGACUGGGAUAACUUCGGGAAACCGGAGCUAAUACCGGAUAAUAUAUUGAACCGCAUGGUUCAAUAGUGAAAGACGGUUUUGCUGUCACUUAUAGAUGGAUCCGCGCCGCAUUAGCUAGUUGGUAAGGUAACGGCUUACCAAGGCACCGAUGCGUAGCCGACCUGAGAGGGUGAUCGGCCACACUGGAACUGAGACACGGUCCAGACUCCUACGGGAGGCAGCAGUAGGGAAUCUUCCGCAAUGGGCGAAAGCUUGACGGAGCAACGCCGCGUGAGUGAUGAAGGUCUUCGGAUCGUAAAACUCUGUUAUUAGGGAAGAACAAAUGUGUAAGUAACUAUGCACGUCUUGACGGUACCUAAUCAGAAAGCCACGGCUAACUACGUG
rnacentral:rRNA from 1 species